rnacentral:lncRNA from 1 species
AACAAUCCAUAAUCAUCACACUCUCUCCUCUCGCUAAUCAUGCUUUGGAAAAUUUAGAAAAUAUCUAGGCUCUCGCUUGUAAAUCCUUAAGCGAACAAAAUAUCAAGAAGUAGUUUAUGAGCAUAUGUACUACAUUGUAGUCAUACAAAGAAUAUAUUGUUAUUUAGUUCCAUUAACAGUAUGUAAAAUAUUAUUUCAGUUACUGAUGAGGAUAGAUUGCAAUAUUGUAUAGUAAUUUAUGAAGUAAUAAACCAAACGAUCCUAUAAAUGAUAUUAUGUACAGAAAUGUAUUCUUGAAUGUAAAUGAGGUUUUAUAUGGAAAAUCCUCAUUCACAAAUUUGAAUCCACAUGUAUGAAUUGGAAGGUCCAAACGAUUCAAAAAAAAAAAAAGGUCCAAACGAUUCUCUAUAAUCUGGUGUAUAUCUUACAAACUCAUAAAGUAUAUAAACCACAUUUUCACAAAAAAAAAACUCAUAAAGUAUAUAAACCAUUAGUCUCAUCAAAUCAGUAUUAAGAUAGUACUAAAAUAUGAUUGUUCAUGGUUAAAAGAACAAGUUUUGUAAAUCACAUUUCUAAACCACCACCUACUUGGGUAUUUAUAUACAUCUAUUUUUGAAAUCAUAAUUUAAUUGCAAAACCCUACCACAAAAAGUAAUCAUUCUUGACGAUUUGAUGAAACUCAAGAACACUUUUUUCUUUUCAGUGAAUAUAAUACACAUUUCUAAACGGGUAGUAUUUUUUAAUCUAAGCUAUGAUAAUACUAAAAUUAAUUUGUUUCUUCAAGCAUAUUCGAAGGUUACAAAGAAAGAAGGAUAAAGCUGGAAGUGAAUAGAUGCAAUGGCACACGACUUUAACAGAGCCUCAUGGUCCC